rnacentral:rRNA from 1 species
AUUGAACGCUAGCGGGAUGCCUUACACAUGCAAGUCGAACGAGUGGAGGACGGGUGAGUAAUGUAUGGGAAACUGCCCGAUGGAGGGGGAUAACUACGGGAAAAGGUAGCUAAUACCGCAUACCAUCGGAUGUGCCCAGAUGGGAUUAGCUAGGAGGUGGGGUUACGGCUCACCUAGGCGACGAUCCCUAGCUGGCCUGAGAGGAUGAACAGCCACACUGGAACAGCGACACGGUCCAGACUCCUACUGGAGGCAGCAUUGGGGAAUAUUGCACAAUGGGCGCAAGCCUGAUGCAGCCAUUCCGCGUGUAUGAAGAAGGCCUUCGGGUUGUAAAGUACUUUCAGCGAUGAGGCGUUACUCGCAGAAUAAGCACCGGCUAACUCCGUGCCAGCAGCCGCGGUAAUAC